rnacentral:lncRNA from 1 species
UAUUGCUUCUGCAGAGGGCAAUUGUCUGAGGUUAGAGCAAUUAAUAAUCCCUAAUAGGCGAAGAUUCCGAAGGCUGCCCAUCCACUCUGGAAGAACUUCCAACCCCUCAAACUCCCAUAUCUCUAGAGACGUCAAGGUAGAGAUAUGCUGAAUUUGGUCUGGGAGAGCCGUGAUUUUUGGCCAUCCACGCAAUUCAAGACGCUUCAGAGAGACGAGAUUGGUGAUGGAGUGUGGCCACGGGAAAUAAUCAAGGUCGUCAGAGAAGCCACCGAGAGUCAACGAUCUGAGGUUGGCUAGAUGGUGGAGAACCGUAAUUGGCCAACAACCAGGGUCAUCAGAAAUGAACGUCAACCACUUGAGCGACGUGAACUUCUCAAGAUCAUUACUCAACGAAGGAUUCAACUUAUCACAUCCUGAGAUGCUUAGAGUACGUAGGGAUUGGGGGUUUUUCAUAUCCAGAGAAGCAUCUAAUAAAGCAGGACAGUCACUUAAGUACAAGGAUUCAAGAGAUGUGAGGCUAUUCAAAUUCCUUAUACAAGCCAAACUUCCACAUACUUGUAUCUCUAACUCCUCAAGAGAUGUCAAGUUCUCCAUAUCUAGUAAAACAGCCAACUUGGGGAGACCUGAGAUUCUCAAGUCCCGGAGAUUAGGGAAUACCUUAAUUGAUGAAGAAGAAUCCGAGGGAACCAUUGCAUCUGACCACUCCUCUAGACUUCCCAUGUCCUCCAAAACAAAACGCUGUAGUUUCGGAAACAGAGUGACUGCUUUCACCUCUCUGCUACUGGUGCUGCUACUACAAGAAGCGCUGCUCCUUGCAUUAAUAUCGAGACCAUAGAAUUCAGCCCCAAUUCGCUUCACAUUGUGCAAGGAGACCACCUUUAAGGACUCGAGACAAGGCAAGUCCCCUAGUGGUGGUACUUGUUCACACUUAACCAAUUUCUCCAACCUGAGGCGUACCAGAUUCCGAAGGAGUACCAUCAAGUGAUCCUUUGCCACCAUCCAUGACGGAAACCUUGAACCUUUGAAACCAUUAAUGGCUAAACUUUUCAAGUCUGGGUGAGGUUGGAGACCUUCCAUGACACUGUCGAUAUUGUUGUCAUCACAAUCUUCAUUUGUAUCGCCCCAUGAAAGUCUUAAACCUCGAAUGCUUGAUUUUUCGGACAACUUUGCUUUUGCUGCUGAUUCAAAGCCGCUCACAUUCUCAAGUCCAAAUAUUCUCAACUCACCUCCGAGGUUGCGCAAGUGUUCCAACUCCUCAAGUUGACAUCCCUUGUCUUGACUUACCCUGAAGUGCGGCAACGUCCGGAGAUUAGCCAGCUGCCCGAUUCCAGGGAACAGACAUUCCUCACUAUCCUUGAAAAACUCGAGAUGCCUCAAGUUAAUUAAAUUGCUAAACUUCUUAGGUAUCUCUUUCAAGUAACUUACUUUCAAGGUCAUCAAAUUGUAGAGCUUUGUGAUCGAAUCUGGCAGAGCGGUGAUACCAGUUCGCCUGAUAUCAAGAUGUCUUAAAUGUUUCAUGUUACCCACAGCAUUCAGGAGAUGAGUAACAUCCCGGCAGUUUACUAUUAACACACAAAGGUAUCUAGACCUUUCCAAGAUGUCUUCGAGCACACUACCAUCACCCCCAAGAUAAUAAAGCGUUUGCAAAUUUGGAGGAAUCCCUUCGAUAUUCUUUAACACCUUCCCUUGACUCCAAAUGAUGGUCAAAUGCAUAACUUCAUUUUCAUGACGGACUUCCAUGCCUCCCUCUGUAUUUAAGAAACAAUUAUUUGACACUUGCAGUGAAAGAUCAUGCACAAGGUCGUGCAUCCGGCAGUACUCGAUUUCAUUAAAGGAAUUCUUAUCACCAGCUUGCAACAAAGAACUCCGAAGCAAUACGUUGAAAUACUCACUGCCUAUAUCCUCCAUUUGCAAAUGACCUCCUCCUCCCUUGGCAUCAUUUAUCAAUCCCUGGGCCAUCCAAAUCUGUAUCAAGCUUUGUUUUUCCAUGAAAGUGUCCUUCGGGAAAAUGGAACAACUUGCAAAGCAUUGUUUCACUGACCAUGAAGGUAAGUUCUCGUAACUCAGCUUCAGGACAGACAUGACUCGUUUUGCAAUAUCGGUCGACUCGUUCCAUAUUUCACUCUUCUCGAUCGUCAACCAUUCCGAGGCAUCCUUUUUGGAAUACAACAAACCCCCGAUCACUUUGAUCGCUAAUGGCACGCCGCCGCACUUUUUCAGUAUCCUUCUGCCAAUGUCCACCAGAUCUUGAGUCUUUGUUGCACCACCGUCUGCAAAUGCUAGUUUUUUAAACAACAUCCAGCUAUAAUCAUCUGAGAGGAUGUCCAGAUGAUGCAAACCAGAUGUUUGCAUUGCUGAGGCUACUCCAUCGCUACGUGUAGUAACCAAUAUUUUGCUUCCUGGAGCACCCCCUAUUGCCAACAAACGUCUCCUCAUGCCAGCCCAUGUCUCUCGAUCCUCAUUCCAAAUAUCAUCAAGGACAAGCAAGUAACUUUUUCCUUUCAGAUUUUCUUGAAGCUUCCUCACCAAUGCUUCCGUGUUUGUCCUCUCAGCACUUUUUCCCUCAAGGGAUUGUAGCAUCUCAUUCAACAGCCUUUCCACUUUGAAAUCAUCAGACACACAAACCCAUAUUGUUUUAUCAAAGUGCUUCACUACACUGUCAAUUUUUAGCACCAUCUGUGCAAGGGUUGUUUUACCCUGCCCACCCAUCCCAACUAUUGAGAUGACGGGUAAAUCCUUGUUAUAGUCUGAGCUAAUUAACAUGCUCACAACUUGAGAUACCUCAGCCUCCCUUCCCACCGUUUCUGACUCGUCCACAAAAGGAUCAGUCAACCGAUCCACUCUGUGAUCAGCAGAUGCCAUGGGUAGUUGAGCUGGAUGAAGCCCUAUCUUAUUUGCUUCUUUGUAAGCUUCCUCUAGAGAUGCGCUAACAUUCUUGAUCUUGUUAGCCAUCUCUAGACGAAAGGAAAUAGGAUUUGAGGAAGAAAAGAAGUUGCGCACCUUGUCGCGCUUCCGAUUCUCAACCUUCUGCCGCAGAACUUCAUAUCCGAAGUCAUCCAACACGAUCUCAGCAUGACGUGCUAUAGACCGGAGCCUUUUCAGCCAGAGCUGCGCGGUUUUGGUUGUUGAUUGCUUGCAUUUAGCAUCAAAAAUCAAAGCUUCCAUCGUCCGUACAUUGUCGGCAAGCUUCUGAAGGUCUUUCUUUACACCCCACGCCCGGCUGAUCUCGUCGGCAGCAAGUGGAAGUAUCUUAUCCAAGAUCCACACUCCAAUUGAUUACAUUUUAAUGGUAUUGGUAAUUAUAAUUAAAAAUUUCUCAUUUAAAACUAUUUACCUACCCUUGGACUCCAUCUGCUAUUAUUAUACGUACCAAAAUUUCUUAAUUGAAGCAUGAAAAUUUUCUCAUUAGUCAUUAGUUAAGAUUGUUAAAAAAAAAAAUCAAUUUCGAAAAAUAGAUACUCUCUAAAAAAUGGAGAAACAUACACUGACAAGAAAACCCUUAUUCAUCUAUAUAUCUUCACACAAAUAUCACGAGUAAAUUUUACAAUUAUGCACUUUUACCAAUAUGAAGAAUUUUUCAUGUUGCACCCAAUGAAAUUUCAAUAUACAAAAAAUGAUGACACCUUUAUAACUGAAAUAGUAGUAUUAAACUAGAAAAAAGAAAUCUAAAAUAGCACCAUACAAACCACUAUUAUCAUUAAUAGCAACCGAUCAAAACAAGAAAAACUAAAAUAAAAUUGAAAACUAUUUAUAAAAUGGCAUAAAGUAAAUAGCAAAUGAAUUAAAAAGUGAGAAUACAAUUCAAAUAAUACCAAAGACAACAUCCAAAUCACUGAUAUCUAGGAGAAGACAAACAUUUUUGUUAUUGACAAUAAUAUAGUAAUGCUUCAUUUGUAUUGGUUUGAGCAAACCAAAUCCAUCUAUCAAGUCAAAAACCAUCUCCAAUGAUAAAAUAAGAAUUAUAAUAAGAGUAAAUGUAAAAUGUAGAAUGAUAAAAUGAAAAUGAUAUCCAAAAUACCCUUAUUGUUCUAAUGAUUACAUAUAUUUAUUGUAUUGCAAUAUUAGUGAAUAAUGGAGGCGGUUAUGAAAUGAAAAACUUUAAAAUUAAGUAAAUUUCAUUUAUGGUGACAAUUGUAAUUAGACAGAUUUAAUACAUUCCAAUAAUUGAUAAUAAUGAUAGCGGUUAUGGAUUAAAAGUUGGCAAUUAAAAACUAAAACACUGCAAUAUAUUAAAAAAACUAAUAUUAAAAUUAUUAAUUAGCCACAAUUCUCAUUCCAAUUUCAUGAUCAUUAAAAAAAACUAAUAUUAAAACCAAAAAUAUUGUGCUCAUAUGAAAAAGUAGACUUGUGCUCUUGUUUCGCAUUGGAUUGUGCUAAAAACAUGAAUAAAAGAAAAGGAAAAUAGAAAAACUUCAACUAUCUCUAUCUAUAAAAUUUCAAUUGUUAGAAUGCACUAGCCAAAAAAACUUUAUUUGGUGGAUCAUUUAUACUCCAUUAUUGAUAAAAAUAGAAUUAACAUAAUACAAAGAAUUCAAAUUACAGUUAUGUUUAUUUUUCUAACUUAAUUAUAUUCUUCGUUUAUAAAAAAUUGUGAUGAUUGUGGUUUAUAUGCAAUAGAGUCAUGAAUAUACAAUAAUUUUGGUGAAACAUGAUAUUAUCAAUGUUUGAUAUGUUAGAGUUCAAGCUAUAAAUCAAAAAGUAUUUGGUUCAUGAUUUCAAAUUCAAUCCUAAGGGAUAUGUCAACUACAUUGGAAUGUUUUCUGUCUCUUUUCAUUUCAUAAAAUUUUUAAAAGUAAUUAGCUUAAAAAAAUAAUAUAAAAAUACUAUAUUAUGAUAUUAAAUUAUUAAUGACCAAAAUUUCAUAAAAAAAUUUUUAGCAUAUAAAAUAUAAUAUAUUUUAAAAUAUUACAAUCACGUGAACUAUUACUAGUUAUUAUUAAGUGUGCCCAGACCUGGCUCCAGUUGUCAGACAAGAUAAUGCAAUCUAUGCAAAUGCCUAACCAUACGUCCAAAUUGUGGUCUCCACCAGCACCAGCUCAUAAAGAAACUACUGACUGAAUAUUGCAAAUAUGAUAUACACAAUACACGAUGCAUAAUUCAAGGACUUCAUUCAUUUAAUCCAAGAGAAGUUUAUAUAAUGAUCGAAUUUGUUGUAUUGAGAUAUGUGGCUUUUCUACAGAUAUUUUAGCACUAAAAUAAAAUAAAUUAGUAAUUGAAUAGGUUGGAAAACUUAAAAAGGACUGCUCCAAGCAAGACGAAUGAUGACAUCCAACGACCAAUUCAGGGCCACACGGCUUGUGGGUACCAUUGAAAUAAUUGAAUCUAUGGAUGUUAAUUGAGAGUUGAAACAGUACAAGUUGGUUUUACCCCAAAAAAAAAAAAAAAGAAAAAAAACUGUACAAGUUGGUUGAUGUAUUUGGGUACAAAAGUAUUCUUAGGUGUGCCCAGACCAGGGCUCCAGCUUUCAGACAAGAUAAUGCCUAACUAUACAUCCAAAUCGUGGUCUCCACCAGCACAUGUUCAUAAAGAAAGUACUGACUCACGGCACCACCCAUGAACGUGGAGGGCCUGGGAAUCAACUUAUUCCCAUCUGCUGAAUUGAAUGGAAAUAAAUCAAUUCCCAUGGAAGCAUUUGGUUGUAUAAUUUCCAUCCACAACACAACUGGAGGAGCUCCACAAAUAUAGAAUUAGGUCUUUUCCCAAGUAUCAAAACAUAUUAUUAUUAUUUCAUAAAUCACAAGAGUCUAAUGCUCCAAAUAACAUUCUACAUUAGCAAUCUUACCGGCAUUGAGACCGGAGUUUGCAAUUUAACACUUACGGUGCUAAAUAAACUGAACACAAGAAACUUCAGUUUCCUUAAUUUUUAUGGAAGAAGAUAUCACUGAAUUUCGCACUAGAAGCUAUCACCGAAUUAUGCCAGGACAUGGCAUGCUGCCACAGUUAAUUUGGCCUGAAAAGUGUUACAAUUAGCAUUAGCAUUUUGACACAUGAGGAGGUUAUAUAUACUUACGUAAAGUAUAUUUUGCCCUUUUCUUCUUCAGUUUCCACCAGAGAAAAAAGGCUGACAUCACCAGUUAACCAUUUCUACUUAACAAGACAUUAACCGCUUUGUGGUUUUAACAGGGAGCGAACAGCGUUGUUACGUUCCAUUGUGUACUUGUGUUCAUCAGCAUGAUCAGUUCUUUACGUAGUUUAGAAGUUGUUUGCAACUUUGCAUUGCCGAGCAGUUCGAAAGUCAGAAGAAGGUAAAAUGAAGGUGGCUAAUGUUUAAAAUUGUCCACUGGUGUGGUCCGUAUUUUUCGUAUACAUGCAUGGAUAAAAUCAAGUGUUGUGGAAGCGGAUCAAUUUGAGUUAAUUUCAGAAUCUGCAAAAUUUAGAAAUAGUAGAGAGUCUAGAGACCAAAACAGUUCCCUUCCCUGUGGAUUCAUUCCUGUGUACGUGGGGAAAGAGAACCAGAAACAUGUGAUACCUCUUUCCUACCUUUCUUCUCUACUACGUCAGUGCCAAGAAGAGAACAAGUUAUCUUUGCAGCCCAUAAAUUUGUCCUGCUCGGUUCAGAUGUUUGAAGCUGUUCUAGAUGUUGUCACGGCUGAGAAAAGCGGCCAUGAUUAAUUUCUUGAAAAUUUUUGAAGAAAAAGAAGAGGAGAAAGAAGUUGCACUUGAACAUUUGGACAAGAUCGUCAUGAAUUCGGCAACUUUUGCCUUGUUAAAACUACCUAAUUAACUCCACAGUUAAGAAAGGGAGACAGUUCCUGCCAUGGUUUUUUACCCCUCAAAAAUCAAAAUCAAUAUAGGGGUUUUCCACGUAGAAGUUGUGUUCUUGGUUGUUCAAAUUUCUUUUACUAGCUUAAUUUACUUUGGUUAUUGUGUGUUUUAACAUAAUUUUUCUUCUUUUAAGUUUCUUAAUUUCUUUUCACACAUUAACCAAUAACUGAGUAAUCCAAUUUACUAGCUAGCAAAUUUUUUGGGGUAUCUUUAAAGUUUCUUCUUGUCCCACAAUUCAUGAAUGGUAUUAAAAUUUCGUCUUGGAAGAGUACAGAUUAAACUCCUCUUCCAUUGGAGAGAAUCUCUCUCCAUUAUUGAUUACACUUCAAUAAAAUUAAUUUUAAAAAUUAUUUUUGAAAAUCAACUUUCAUCAUAAUAUGUUUCAUUACUUAUGUUAGUUACACAAAAAACUUCACAUGAAAUUGACCAAGUUUUGCCAUUUAAUUAAUCACUAUAAAUUUUAUCCUAAUGUUAUCCAUUUUUCACCGCUCAAAUGUUCCAUGUAAAUCAAACAUUCAAAAUAUUGAUCUAGAGAUCAAAAGAAAAAUAAUGACACAAUUACAUAAUUUUAUAGCAUUAUAUAAAUUUAUAUAUGAAUAAAUGGGGAGACCAAUGGAGAGAAAUCUGACAAACAGGAUCCUAACCCGGGAGGGCACUAACAGUAGUCAUGGAUCCAAUUUUUGGGUCACAUGACUUACUUGCAAGUUUGAAGGAAUAUCUGACAACAGCUUUUUCUUCUCAUAGUAGUAGUUUUUGCCCUUUUCAGCACACUUUGCACAACCACCUUUGACAUAAUUGCAAUAGUUUUCAUUCUCAGAUGAACAAAAUUUGGUAUCAUCAUCAAAACACACUAUAACUAGAGGCCCUAAUUAUUGUACAAUAUAGGGCUUUUCAACACUGCCCCCAGACAUCCAUACAAAAUAAUGGGCGUAGCCCAGCAAUAACAAGAUACAGCUAAAUGAUUUUAACUAUCAACAAUUAAUGUUAAAUAAUACCUAUCAAACAAUUGGGUUAAGUGGAUCUACACAUUGCAAAAGUCAUACUAGAAUGUCGAUAAUUAACCAAUUCCAAGAAUCAGGAUUACCAGACAACCAAAUGGUUGUUGAACUACUCAUUAGCAACCUUCUUCCAGGCGCCCCCUUGAUGAAAGAAUUGAGAGUAGUGUUAGCACGCGAAUCGAGUUCAUGGUUGGUUCCUGAUCAUUUAUCCCAAGUCAAUUUCCAAAAAAAUGUUGUCUGUUUUGCAGCUUCAGAGUAACUGAUUCACCAUUUCUUGUUUGAUAAUCUCAGUCAGCUGCCAUCUGAUCUGUUUGGAGAUUCCCUCCGUAUCAUUUCUAUGAGAUCCUGCACAACUUCAGACAUUGGAGGCCUAAACUCUGGCUCCAGCUGCAUGAAAAACUCACUAUGUCAGAACUUAUUCAUUGAAGCCAAGGAAGAAAUGAUAAGAGGACAUCACCAAUGGGAGUUUCCAAUAACACAGUACUCAAGAGACUUCCUGGAAACAAAGUUAUAUUCUCUUUUAUGUAUGUUUUCUAUACAAGAAAGUAGAGGUUUGAUUCCUUAGUAGGAUAAAGACAUAAUUUUGAUAUGUACCUAUUCAGUAUUCACCACUACCUUUUUUAAGUUUUUUAGUCAUAUGGAGGAAAAUACUUCUUUUUCCUUUCAACUCUUCCUUGUUUUAUUCCUCUUUGGGUGUAAGUGGGAGGUCUCGAACCUGGAAUCUCUCACUUACUCUCCCCCCAUACCACCCAACCCAUCCCUCCCCCCAAUUUUUCCUUUUCCUUCAUUUUCCAAUGAAACAACAAUGAUUUUGCAUACAACUUUCUAAGAAAUGAACUCGGGUGCCCAAUGUGCUUUAGUCGCAUUCAGCCGUACGUUAACUUGGCCUUGUAGUCGUGAGUACUAAGAACUAGCAAAACCAUUCGCCACACCUGCCUACAAUUACAUGGGAAAAUUUCUUUCACCGUACAAUGUUAUAUGCAAGUGCAAAGCAAAUUCUUGCAUUCAGGGAGUUCCGAGGUUUCUUCAUGUGCCAGCAUACUGUUAUACAAACGCAGCAUUGCAUCUUUAAUUUUGAAGAACUGAUAUCUAUGUAUAUUUAGGUUAAACUAGGGCUAAGGGGGGACCAGAGUUAUAGGCAGAAAGAUAAUUGGAUAUCUAGACUUCUACUACAACAAGAGCAUGCAUCUCCAUGUUCCAAUCUAAAACAUUAAUAAUUCUCUCAGGUGGAGUGUUAGAGUAAUGUAACCUUAGGUAAUUCAUAAACCAACUGAGUUAAGAAACAAUUAGUUCGUUAUACUAAGUGCACAGAAACUUGGGCAUAUAAGCUGCUUGUAAUUAUGCGUUCCCUAACAAUCUGGUAAGUCUAGCACUAAAGUUUGAGUACUAAAAGUAAAGGGGAUGUUUUUUAAGUCCAAUUUGAUCAAAGGUAACUUUUAUCUGUCAUGUGAUAUUUGGACCUGUAAAAGGAUGGACCCAACGACUUUAAACACUCAGAUUCUCAAGACUUGCUCUUAAGUGUUACUUUUUAUUACUAAAUGUGACGCCCCGAAAAAAAAAAAUAGGGUUUUCAUUUUGUAUACUUUGUUGGACGAGCGAAGGAACGCAGCUUUUAAACUUGGAAAUGAAGAAAAAAUUGGAAAUGUGAAAGGGGCCAAAUCCGGCCGGAAAUCCGGCCAGUUUCUGGCCGGAUAGCUGGCCGGUUUGAAAAAAAUUGGAUCAGCCUUUGCCUCGAAUCCGGCCGGAAAUCCGGCCGGAUUGUGACGUCAUCCCCGACAGUCAACUUUGACUGGCUGCCUUUUUCUUCCUUCUUAUCUCAUUUUGGCCAAAAUAUCUCACUUUCUUCCUUGGUUCAUCCGUGAGCUUUGAGAGAAAAACAAGAAAAACUCUUCAUUCUUCCAUCUUCAAUUUCUACUCAAAUCUUGGGUUUUAACCGAUGGUUUUGGAAAAUAUUUCAUACAAGGGCUCAUUAUGGUGGUUUAAAGCUUUUGAUGGAUUGGUUUUGGAAGGGGAGUGCUAAGUUGAUAGCUUUCUUGAACUUGAGGUGAGUUGGAUAAACAAGUUCCCUUUUGUUCUAUAUUUGGUUAAUUAAUGGUUUGUGGUGGUCAUGUAUGUUAUUUUGUGGAGUAUUUCAUGGGUUGAAGGAAGUUAUGGUGAAUUUCUGAUUUAUUGGGCAUUUUUCCGAUUUUAUAUGAUAAGCAUGAAUUGGUCUUGAAUUGAUGGAUUGUUAUGGUGUUAAAUGGACCCUUUAUACGUUAAUUGUGGUUGUUUGCGGAAAAUUUCCGCUUAUGGUAUGAAUUCCGGUUUUAGGGUUUCAAUUUGGGAAUUUUUCCAAGAUUGGCUUAUAAGCUUCUAAUUGGUUUUAAUUGAGGGAUUUUGUGGCCCUAAUUGGAUAUGUUUAUUGAUUACGAACUAUAUGUGCAAUUGUGGUUGAUGGUUAUGAAUUUGGUGAAUAUUUGUAGGUUGGAAAAUAAAGAAAGUGAGGGGGAAAUGCUGUCCGAACUUUGAUAGUAUUUGGUUGCUUUGAACUGGAAUUGAAGGACUUGAGUUCGAUCCAUGAAAUUGUCUAUAGUGGAAGAGGACUAUGAGCCGUGAAGUGAGUAAUCUCCAAACUGUUCCAAAGUUACUUUUGAACGUUUUCUUGCAUUAUUUAUUCAAUUGCAUAUCAUGCGUGCUUGCAUGUGAGUUCAUGACAUGAUUUGGCUUGAAAUGAGUACUUGGGAAGUCCUGUGCUGAACACCAACGUCUCUACCACUGUUCAUGUUUAUUUGGAGCUCAAAAAGGGGCUCCCUCUCUCUGUUUACUGUUAACGUUAAAGGAUCUGUUUGAGCGUUGGGUGUUUAGGUGCAAUGAUUUCACUGGCUCACGAGAGCAAUAAACGUACAUUGGAUUUCUGAUUCAUAACAUCAUUGAAAUGAACGAUUAUGAAACUGAUUUGAUUACUGAUUUUAUUGGUUACUCGCUGAGAUUUUAGCUCACCCCAAAACUAUUUUAUUCCCCUCCACAGGGCUCGAGGCGAAGAAAGAGCUUGUAGUGCUUAUUCAUGUGAAUGGACGGAUUAUCUCAUGUAUGGUUUGAAUUUGAAUUUUUCUUUUGUGACUUAUAUUGUAAUUUAUUUGAGGACUGUAGUGAAUGACUGAGUCCCGACGAGACUUGGGCAGGCGGCCCACCGAACCCUCUGGUUCGCCUUAGGGGGAGGUGGGGCUGUCACACUAAACCCCCCUCAUCUUCGCUCUUCCAACCAUUAAGGGAGCCAGGGAUUGAACCAUGGGAAGUUGGGAACCAAUCUAAGGCCAUUCAUCCUAAUCAUAACAAAUCCUUGAACUUGAUCACAAAUCUGUAAACAAGCCAAUAUUUUACUCAAAUUUAUGGUGGGUUUGGUAAGUCAGUGAGGUAGAUAUAUAUAUAAGAAGUGCGGUAGAUAUAUUAGAUGGAUGAGUUGCCUUGAUUCUGACCCUUUAAAAAAAAGAAUGAUAAAGAGGAGGACGAAAGAAUCUACGGAAAAGAAAAUGUAAAGAAGGAUAUGGCAAUUUAAAAGGAAGCAGUAGCGUUUUUUAUUUCCUUUUUCCUUCCGGGGAUUAUAUAUGAGAAAAAAAAAAAGUACUAAUAGAAUUCUAAACAAACCGAAUAAGUAGAGAUUAAAUAAGAACAUUGGAAAUAUUAACUACUUACAGUUACAGUGGGGUUUGUUUCCCUAGUCGAUAACAAGGGGAAUAUGUGCAAUCUUGGGCCACUCUGCGCCACUUCCUUUGGUGCAUCUCUCUGCUAAAAGAGGACAGGUGUCGAUAUACAGUUUAUUUAAAUUGGUGAGGUGUCGUGUUGCUUCUGCAGAGGGCAAUUGUCUGAGGUUAGAGCAAUCAACAAUCCACAAUUCUCGAAGAUUCCGAAGGCUACCCAUCCACUCUGGAAGUACUUCCAACCCCUCAAACUCCCCUAUCUCUAACGUCCUCAAGGUAGAGAGAUGCUGAAUUUGGUAUGGGAGAGACGUGAUUUUUGGCCAUCCACGCAAUUCAAGACGCUCCAGAGAGACGAGAUUGGUGAUGGAGUGUGGCCACGGGAAAUGAUCAAGGUCGUCAGAGAAGCCACCGAGAGUCAACGAUCUGAGGUUGGCCAGAUGGUGGAGAACCAUAAUUGGCCAACAACCAGGGUCAUGAGAGAAGAUUUCCAACCGCUCGAGCGACGUCAACUUCUCAAGAUUAUUACUCAAUGAAGGAUUCAACUUAUCACAUCCUAAGAUGCUUAGAGUACGUAGGGAUUCCAGAGAAGCAUCUAAUAAAGCAGAGCAGUCAUUUAAAUAUAAGGAUUCCAGAGAUGUGAGGCUAUUCAAAUUCCUUAUACAAGCCAAACUUCCGCAUCUCCAUAUCUCUAACAUCGCAAGAGAUGUCAAGUUCUCCAUAUCUGGUAAAACAGCCAACUUGGGGAGCCGUUCGAUUCUCAAGUACCGGAGAUUAGGGAAUACCUUAAUUGAUGAAGAAGAAUCCGAGGGAACCAUUGCAUCUGACCACUCCUCUAGACUUUUCAUGUCGCACAGCACAAAACUCGACAGUUUCGGAAACAGAGUUAUUGGUUCCACCUUUCUGCUACUGCUACUGCUACAAGCGCUGCUCCUUGCAUUAAUAUCGAGAUGUGCAAGGAGACCAUAGAAUUCAGCUCCAAUGCGCUUCACAUUAUGUAAGGACUCCAUCUCUAAGGACUCGAGACAAGGCAAGUCCCCUAGUGGUGGUACUUGUUCACACUUACCCAAUCCACUCAACUUGAUCUCUACCAGAUUCCGAAGGAGUACCGUCAAGUGAUCCUUUGCCACCAUCCACGACGGAUACCUUGAACCUUGGAAACCCCAAAUGGCUAAACUUUUCAAGUCUGGGUGAGGUUGGAGACCUUCCAUGACACUGUUGAUAUUGUUGUCGUCGCAAUCUUCUUUCGUGCCAUUCCAUGAAAGUCUUAAACCUUGAAUGCUUGAUUUUUCGGACAACUUUGCUUUUCCUGCGGAUUCAAAGCUGCUCACAUUUUCAAGUCCAGAAAUUUUUAGCUCGCCUCGGAGGUUACGCAAGUGUUCCAACUCCUCAAGUUGACAUCCCUUGUCUUGGCUUACCCUGAAGUGCGGCAACGUCCGAAGAUUAGCCAGCUGCCCAAUUCCAGGGAAGAAACAUGAUUGGCCCAUAGCAGAUGAAAACUCGAAAUGUCUCAAGUUAAUUAAAUUGCCAAAUUUCUUAGGCAUCUCUUCCAAGUAACAUACUUUCAAGGUCAUCAAAUCGUAGAGCUUUGUGAUGGAAUUUGGCAGAGCAGUGAUACCAGUUCGCCUGAUAUCAAGAUGUCUUAAAUGUUUCAUAUCACCCACUGAAUUUGGGAGAUGAGUAACACCCAGGGAGUCUACUAUUAAUACAGAAAGGUAUCUAGACCUUUCCAAGAUGUCUUCGAGCAUAAUACCAUCACCCCCAAGAUAAUAAAGCGUUUGCAAAUUUGGAGGAAUCCCUUCGAUAUUCUUUAACACCUUCCCUUGACUCCCAAGGAUGGUCAAAUGCAUAACUUCAUCAUCAUGACUGACUUCCAUGCCAUCCCUUGUAUUGAAGAAACGAUUAUUUGACACUUGCAGUGAAAGAUCAUGCACAAGGUCAUGCAUCCGGUAGUACUCGAUUCCGUACUUAGGAGUAGCUUGCAACAAAGAACUCCGAAGCAAUAUGUUGAAGUAAUCGCUGCCUAUAUCCUCCAUUUGCAAAUGACCUCCUCCUCCCUUGGCAUCAUUAAUCAAUCCCUGGGCCAUCCAAAUCUGUAUCAAGCUUUCUUUUUCCAUAUCAGCGUCCUUCAGGAAGAUGGAACAACUUGCAAAGCAUUGUUUCACUGACCAUGAAGGUAAGUUCUCGUAACUCAGCUUCAGGACAGACAUGACUCGUUUUGCAAUAUCGGUCGACUCGUUCCAUACUUCACUCUUCUCAAGCUUCGACCAUUCCGAGGCAUCCUUUUUGGAAUACAACAAACCCCCGAUCACUUUGAUCGCUAAUGGCACGCCGCCGCACUUUUUCAGUAUCCUUUUGCCAACGUCCACCAAAUCUUGAGUCUUUGUUGCACCACCGUCUGCAAAUGCUAGUUUUUCAAACAGCAUCCAGCUAUAUUCAUCUGAGAGGAUGUCUAGAUGAUGUACACCAGAUGUUUGCAUUGCUGAGGCUACAUCAUCGCUACGUGUGGUAGCCAAUAUUUUGCUUCAUGGAGCACCUCCUCCUAUUUCGAGCAAACAGCUCCUCAUGCCAUCCCAUUUCAGUGGAUCGUCAUUCCAAACAUCAUCAAGCACGAGCAAGUAACUUUUUCCAUUCAGAUUUUCUUGAAGCUUCGUCACCAAUGCUUCCUUGUUCGUCGUCUCAACAUUCUUUUCCCUGAGGGAUUGUAUCAUCUCAUUCAACAGCCUUUCCACUUUGAAAUAAUCAGACACGCAAACCCAUAUUUUUUUAUCAAAAUGCUUUGUUACAUUCUCAUUUUUUAGCACCAGCUGUGCAAGGGUUGUUUUACCCUGGCCACCCAUCCCAACUAUUGAGAUGACAGGCAAUUUCUUCUUAUAGUCUGAGCUAAUUAGCAUGCUUACAACUCGAGAUACCUCAACUUCCCUUCCCACCAUUUCUGACUCGUCCACAAAAGGAACAGUCAAACGAUCCUCUUUGUGAUCAGCAGAUGCCAUGGUUAGCUGAACUGGAUGAAGCCCUAUUUGAUUUGCUUCUCUGUAAGCUUCCUCUAGAGAUGCGCUAACAUUCUUGAUCUUGUUAGCCAUCUCUAGACGAAAGGAAAUUGGAUUUGAGGAAGAAAAGAAGUUGCGUACCUUGUCGCGCUUCCGAUUCUCAACCUUGUGCCGCAGAACUUCAUAUCCGAAGUCAUCCAACACGAUCUCAGCAUCACGUGCUAUGGACUGGAGCCUUUUGAGCCAGAGUUGCACCGCUUUGCUUGUUGAUUGUUUGCAUUUAGCAUCAGAAAUCAAAGCUUCCAUCAUCUCUACUUUCUUGGAGAGCUUCUGAAGGUCUUUCUUUACACCCCAUGCCCGGCUGAUCUCGUCGGCAGUAAGUGGAAGUAUCUUAUUCAAGAUUACACUAACACAACUGAGUGCAGCUUCAGCCAUCUUCAAGGGAAACUCUUAACAGAUGAAGGUAAAGUGCUUUGGUUGAAUAGUUGGACUACUUUUUGCAGACAGAGAUGAGCAAAAUUCAACAGCUAUGAGUUGCAAAGAAAGCACUGAAGCCAUUACUUAUCUUUCAUUUUUUUUCCCAAAACGAAAUUUCCUAGUCUCCACCGAAGAAUUAUUAUAUUCUAGCAGUACAUUUUUUUUGGCUUUUUCCCUUGGCUUUUGGUCGGGUCUUCACAUGUUAAAGCAAAAAUACUACUUAUGAUAACAAUAAUUAGAAUAGUAUAAAAGUCUCGGAUGCAAAUGUGUUAAACUUAAAGAAGGGAUGAGUGAAAGAUUCCCCGAGAAAGGGUGUGAAAACUUUGCCGAACAUUGAAAUUUCAACCUCUAGAUGCUCAUAAUGGUCAAUAAUUAUUAUUAAGUGUGCCCAGACCUGGGCUCCCGUUGUCAGACAAGAUAAUGCAAUCUAUGCAAAUGCCUAAUCAUACGUCCAAAUUCAAGGUUUGCCCACCAGCACGAGCUCAUAAAGAAACUACUGACUGAACAUUGCAAAUAUGAUAUACACAAUACACGAUGCAUAAUUCAACUAAUCACAUUACAGGGACUUCAUUCAUUUAAUCCAAGAGAAGUUUAUAUAUUGAGAUAUGUGACAUUUCUACAUUUAUUUUAGCACUAAAAUAAAAUAAAUUAGUAAUUGAAUAAGCCUAGUUCUUAGAGUUGUACCACAUUUUUUGCUUUUGACUAGUUCAAAUUUGUCUGAGUUCUAAAUGUUAUGUUGAGAUUUGUUAGGGGAGAUUUGAAUAGUGUUGUUUUGAGGUUUGUCGCGAAAAAUCUGUGUAGACUUAUUACUUACACUUUCAAUUAAUAAUAGAGAGUUAUUUAAUGAGAAAUCUAAAAUCAUUUUUCAACUCUCUCAAUAUAAGUCUCGGUAAACUAUUUUUUGUCAGCUUUCAGUAGAAGUAAGCUCUAAAUUCUAACAUAUUGGCUGGUAGUACAAAAUAGAGAUGUUCCAAUUUCUCUUCAGCACAUGCAAAUAUUUAUCACAUACAAGAAGCUAGUGUUGAAAAUAGGACCAGGAGUUUGCUUCAAUCCAAUUGAAAGCAAUCGGGCUUAACGAACCAUCAGGAACGCCAAGAGAGCUGACCAAGAAAAGUGCAUAUACAAAGGGUAUUUUCUCUAAUUUAAAGACAUAACAACACUCUCUGCUCCUCAUGUUUUUCAUAUACAAAGGGUCACCCUGGAAAUUUAUCAGCAAUUGGUAUCAUUAGUUGCUUCUAACUUCUGGUCCUGCAAGAUCUAUACCAAAGAAUCAGAUAAUAGAGAAGUCUGUAGCCCACGAUGAAAGCCAACAUCACAACCAAGUAACUCUAUUUCUGUGACUGUUUUAUGCCUAGAUUUCUCAAGAAUGCAUCACCAUGCAUCAAACAUCCUGCUUCAACACCGUCUGCACAUUUCCCUCGGCCUCUGUAUCCUCCAAAACUCAUUUAGUAGAAGACAUUCAAGAGGAUACUUCAUCAAGCUCAAAUAGUGCAUGAAGAGCCUAUACUUGGGUAUUUCUUUGUUAGAUAUGAAUUACCCCGAGAAAACAAGAAUGCACCCAUGAUGCCUGCCAUCAAAGACAUUCCUGAUAUGAAAUUCGGUACCAGAGCACUGAAGCAGCUGCAAAAGAAUUUGCCAUUGAGAGAACCAUCCAAGCCACCAGACAGAAAUAAAGGAAUCCAUAGAUUUUGCGUCUGAGUCCAACUAGCCAGUGAAGUGGAGUAGUAAAGAGGAGAUAGUUGCAAAAGGAAGGCAACAAACACUAGGUUGUUUGCUAUAACAUAUGAAGAUAUUCUGUAAGAUCCUCUUGAGGUCUCUCUCAUCAAAAUUAUCCUCUCUUGCAAGAAUAUUGGGAGAGCUCCUGUAGUAAAUGACAACAAGAAGGUCAGGAUAAACCCCAUGAAUCCAAUCUGAGUUUGAACACCUUCAGGCAGAAAUAUUUUGCUAUGUACUUGGAUUUGAUUAGUUGCCAACCAUCUGAGUUGACAUUAUUCAACUUGAUUCACCAACUGGCAAAUCAACACUGUAUAAACAGGCACAGAGGCUUAAGAUGCAUUCCAAUUUCCACGUGCAUGGGCAUAGCAUGCAACUAAUUCAUUUGGAUGAUAUAAUACAUAAGGUCAUCAGUUUGACAAGAUUAACUUCAAAACACCUACUUCCAACUAAAUACGCAGAAGACAACAGAAAUGAUAUGUUUCUUGUUUAUUCAGAAGCUCAGAAUGCCAGUGCAUUAUUGAAUAAAAAAAUUAUUUUUUUUGGGUCAAUCACUAAUCUGAUCUAUAUUAAGGGAUAUUUUCAAGUGAUAUUGGCAAAUGAUAUCGUCAAAGCACACAUUUUAGUUCUACAGCAAACCUCGUGUGCAAUGACAACUAUAGCUUUUGCCACUCAACAAUUGAUCAUUUUUAAAAGGAUAAAAGUGUUAUUUCAUGAAUAUUUUGCAGUGGCAUUAUAACAAGUCUAAGUGUAUUAGGCUGGUAAUUGUGAGACUCCUAAUUGACUCUCAAAACAUGCUCUCAAAACAUGAUCAUUUCUCUGCUCCUCAUGUUUUUCAUAUACAAAGGGUCACCCUGGAAAUUUAUCAGCAAUGGGUAUCAUUAGUUGCUUCUAACUUCUGGUCCUGCAAGAUCUAUACCAAAGAGUCAGAUAACAGCGAAGUCUGUAGCCCACGAUGAAAGCCAACAUCACAACUAAGUUACUUUAUUUUUGUGACUCUUCUAUGCCUAGAUUUCUCAAGAAUGCAUCACCAUGCAUCAAACAUCCUGCUUCAACACCUUCUACACAUUUCCCUCUGCCUCUGUAUUCUCCAAACUCAUUUAGUAGAAGACAUUCAAGAGGAUACUUCAUCAAGCUCAAGUAGUGCAUGAAGAGCCAAUACUUGGGUAUUUCUUUGUUAGAUAUGAAGUACCCCGAGAAAAAAGAAGAACGCACCCAUGAUGCCUGCAAUCAAAGACAUUCCUGAUAUGAAUGCAGCUGCAAAAGAAUUUUCCUUUGAGAGAACCAUCCAAGCCACCAGACAGAAAUAAAGGAAUCCAUCGAUUUUGCGUCUCAGUCCAACUAGCCAGUGAAGUGGAGUAGUAAAGGAAUGCAACAAAAUUAUAAGAGAUCUUUACAAUCCACUAAUACAAUCCAACUCAGCUCAGUGAAUGCGAUCUUUACACGGAAAACCUUAGUUGAGAGAAAUGUCAUGUACCUAGGGGUAGUCAGCUACAGCCAAUACAGCAACGGGACAACCAAGAAAAAGAAAGAAGAAAAGGGAGAGAAAGGAGAACCUUUACAGUGACUGCCACAAAGUGAAGAAUACAGAGGUACCAGUGACCUCAUAGGAAUUUUAUUGUACAAGGCCAAAAAGCUCACUAAAUACAUUCAAGUGCUUAGCAAUUCACACUGAACAAAUCAUCUACAUCAAGCCUGCAAAAUCACCCAAAAACUAAACCUUGCUAGCUAGGUACAGCGAGAAAUUUCCAAUUUUGUGAUGAAUUUUAAAAAAAUUCUACAAAAGGGGUGAUUUUGGUUAGAUAUUCCGCAGGGGGUGUUCGCAUUCGCGAAAUGCGAGCUCUCUAGAGCUCGCAUUUGCGAAAUGCGAGCUUCCCAUUCCUUGAACCAUUGCACACCUCCCUUUCCUUUAUUUUGGACACCUCCCUUAUUACUGCAAUAAAUAGAAAGACCAGACAUGUAAGCAUCGACAAGACUUACGUUUAAAUUGAAAUUUAGUAUAUUUGGAAACCUUAUUUAAGAAUAAUGGUGUCGUAUUUUAGUGACAUACUAUAGAGAGAUAAUAUGUUGGAAAAGUAAAAUUUUGGUUGGACAACAGUGUUUAAGAAAUAAUAUAAAAAUUUUCUAAAAAAUGGGCAACCCAUUCACAUAAAUUUGUAGGAGUUCAGCUACAGUAAUCUACGUACUAAUAACUGAGAAAGAAAUGAAAAAUCGAGAAUAUUCCAAAAAAAUCCAGGUUUGAGUAGUCAAUACCUGAAGUUGGAAAUUGAAAAAAAAAAAAAUGAAGACCAUGAGAAUUCAAAGAAUCCAAGCUUAAGAAAUGGCGGAGCAUUAACCACUGUAUAGGACCAAACAUUAUUUGCAACCCAAAUUAGUGGUAAAAGAACUAAUAUCAUUCACUCUGAUUCACUAUAUUCACUAUAUUCCUCUGUGAACUCGCAUUCCGUGAAUGCGAAGACCCCCCAUUUGUAGAACAACCUCCAAAAAUCGCCCCAGUUGUAGAAUCCUUUUUUUUUUUCAUCAUAAACUAAGAAUUCACCCUAGGUACAGCAGGGGGCGAACUCUUACAAUGCCAAUUGAACCAUAGGCACUUAUCCUUCACUGCUUCAGCUUCACUGACGUACUCUUUGAAUCCAUUGGGAGAUAUUCCCCUCUUUGCUAUCACAUAUGAAGAUAUUCUGUAGGAUCCGCUUGAGGUCUCUCUCAUCAAAAUUAUACUCUCUUGCAAGAAUAUUGGGAGAGCACCUGUAGUAAAUGACAACAAGAAGGUCAGGAUAAACGCGGAAUUGGAGUAAGAGAGGUGCUUUUCUUGAAUAUUGGUCAAAAUGGAAGUUCUGAUAACAUGCAGAGCUGAAGUCUCAAGCACUGAAUCUGAGGUUGCUAACGUUGUAUUGGUUACAGGCAUCAUUAUUGUAUCAUCUCUUGUUGCAUCUCCAUGAUCAUGUUCACAUUCAAGCAUUUUUCUGGCUUUUAUAUUGGUUGGAUUGGCCUCAACUCCCAUAGUAAUGCUCUAAGAAGGCACAAAUACUGCAAGAAAUACAUAUUAUCGUCAGCAGAAGUUAGUAUUGCUAGCAAGCAACUAAUGUGCCUAGGAAGAGGUAGUAGAAAUUAUAUGUUACUUCCCACUUCAGAUUGAAUAUAAUGUGUUGCUUUGAAUGUAAUUUAUGCAUCAAGAAAAAUGGAUUUUCAAAAGUAUAUAACGUUCUGGAUUUGAAUGAGUUUGUGUGUGCAGCAAAAUGGAAAUAAAAGUUUAAUAAUGUUGAAAAUUCUGUGGAUUUAUAUCAUGGUUAGUUGGGAUUCAAAGACAUUAAUUCAUACCAAUUGUUUAUUGGGAUAGAAAAAUGGUACAUGGCAUGGCACGUUAUCGUACUUUUAUAUUAUGGCUGCCUGUACUUAAUUUUAAAUAAUCGAAAUUAGUAUUCUAUAUGAUUAUAAUACAUGAUAUAUGGUCGUCGUAACUCACAAGUUUUAAUUAAAGCUUGAACAAAACCUUGGUUUGUGGAAACAAAUCAUAAUUUUAAGUCCAGGCAAUUUGUCCGACCCUAUUCUUUCAUGGUGGAUUUAAUUUGAAAGAAUCUAGUUAAAUAUUUUUUGGCUCUCAUACAAAUCAAACUAAAAAAGGUAAAUUACUAAUAAAUUCCCUUGUGGUUUCGCACAUUACCGCAUUACCUUUAUAGUUUUUUGAAUCAAUUGCUAUAACUGAAGGUACUUUUUAUCCAUUUUUCACUUUACACAAAAUUAUAGAGUGAUUAUAAAGAUAUUUUAAAACAUUAAGGAAUCAUGUGACAAUACACAAAUUUUUUAGAAGAUUAUUAGUAAUUUACCCAAUUUAAAGUCCAGAAGUAACUAUUUGGUUGGUAAUAGUUCUAGGGGAAAAGAGUCCCAUGCCCCUCCAACUCUUUUUCAAGUAAAGUUUUAAUCCUCCAAUAAUUAACAAUAAAAGUUUGGCCCUCGAUCUAAUAAAAUAGCAUAUGCGUGGCCCUUCUGUCAAAUCUAGCAGUUAAAAUUAACAGGAAGCAUUAUCUCGUGAGAUGCGCGAUCAAAUAUCAAGGGUAUUAUAGUCUCUGAAUGGUUUACCAAGCACCUCCGCCCCACCGACCCCUCCACCACCCCACCACCUGUGUCACCACCACUGCUGCCGUUGCUCUUGCUUCUCCUCACGAUAAGCCUGAUUGAUCAUUCAAUAGGACCAGUUCUGCAUCUAUACACUGCUUGGUAUGUUUGUCCACCAUUUCGUGCAACCUUCUGUCCUUCCUCAGUAGCAGUACUCAAAAGCUUUACAACUGGAUCAUCUUCCUGCUCUUGCACGGUAAGGGGUUCGAACAAUGGGUGCCCCUCCAAACAAGAUUUCAUCCACUCCCCCAGUUCUUCCACAUCAGCAAUGGUGUAAAUAAUUCCACCAACUGCAAGAGCAUAAGCAUACUCAUCCAGCAAGUAAGGACUAAUAACACGACGGCGAUGAUUUUUUUCUUUAAAGUGAGGGUCCGGGAAAAGAAAAAACAUCUUUUUAAGCUGCCUCUUCUCAAAGUAAUUGGGAAUGUACUUCAUCGAAUUAGUGCGAACCACUGAAAUAUUCUGAUACUGCCCAGGAUUACUAGUCCUCAGUGCUAAAAUCCUUUCCUUUACGUACUCUGUCACCUUAUCCCUGAGUUCCAUUCCAAUCAUAAGGGUUUCAGGAAAAAGCGUCGAAAGGCUAAUUAAACGCCCUCCAAAACCACAACCUAUGUCCGCAAAACAAUCUUUUUGGAAUCAUUAGAUAUCUGAGGAUAAUGACUGGAAUAAUCAAAUUGAGAAUGGGCAACAGGAACAGGGAAAUGGGAAUCACUCAAUGGAUUGCGAUGUGCCAGAGCAUGAUAAAAUCGUUUCCGAGGCAGCCCAGUACUUUUGCUUCUCCUUCACCGAAAUGAUGUAGAGGUUCUUUGUCCCCAUUGUUAUCGGCGCAGUUGCCGUUGCCGCCACCGGAAGACCUAGCGACAUCUUGAACUUGUUCUCUAGGAAAGAGACCAUAAUGCCCUUGAUAUUUGGUCGCGUGUCGCACGAGAUGAUGCUUCUCGUCAAUUUUAACUGCUGGAUUUGACGGAAGGACCAUAAAUAUGCUAUUUUAUUAGAUCGAGGGCCAAAUCUAAAACUUUACCUGAGAAAGAGUUGAAGGGUCAUUGAGACUCUUUUCCCUAGUUCUAGAAUGGGCGCAAAACAAACAAUUUGGUUGGUAAGAGUGCUAUAAUGGAUACAAACUAGGCGCCAUGCUUCUAACCAAAAUCUGCAAUUUCAACAUCUGUAAUUUAUCUAGAGAAAUGAUGGGAAUAGUCCCUCACUUGUUGCAUUUGUAUUUAUUUAAUUUCUCACUUCCAAAUCGCACUAUUUUAAUUUUAAAAACUAUUUUGGGAGAUUUUUAAUCUUAAAACAUCGCCUGACCACCACAUGAUUCCGAUUUUAGGAGCCCAAAAAGUAUCACAUACUUUUAAUUUAUUAUUAUUCUUUUAUUUGCUUUUUCUCCUUUGUUUCUCAUUUGGCCUAGUCUAAUUGGUACUCUUGGUAUUCUUUAUCUUUGUUAUUGGUUUUUAGUUUAAAUAUGUUUGGAACAAUUUGCGAAUCUCUUUGCUAGAUUAUUUUUUAAAUUAAUCUUUUCUACACUGACACUGUUGGAUUAAUGACAAUUAUGCAAAAUUUAAAUUUAACAUUCCAGGCACAGCACCUUCAAAUCUGGUAAAGCAACCGAAUUGGGUAUAUCCAAAUCAACUUGUCUAUCCAUUUUCAGAACAACUAGUGUUUUGCAUGUAAAUAUUCCCAAUAGAUUUGAUCGUUCAGCAUCAUUUUCAAACAGAAAAAUCUCAAGUUCUUGAACAUUGCACAACGGUAAAGCAGAUAUCAAGGAGUCCAUUUGCAACUGAAACCGUUCACAUAGCCACGGUGGGAAGAUUGUGAGCCCAAAUUUUCUUAUGGGAGCUGUGUUACGUUGCCGUAUCAAGUUAAUACAAAAAUCAAUAAAUCUAGAGAACUUCAGAUGAGAAUUUUCACGUUGAAUAGGAUCUAAUUCGUCUGAAGUGUCAUUAAAUACGAGAUUAAUAACUGGAAUAGAAGUGAGAAGGUAUCGCCAUCGAGGAGAUAAAAUUGAGGUGGCUGCGGCUUCUUUCAUGGGGAGAAAUGACAAAAUUUGGCAAAGGAGAAGGGCACUAAUUCUAUCAAUCCUAUUUGAAGAAUUGGCGGUGGGAUCUUGAUCCAAUGAUAUCUUCCCAGCCAAAAAAAAAGGGUGUUUCCACUGAUCAACAAGAAGGGCAAGAAAUGGGAAAACAGGAUGCUAAGUUGCAUAAAAGAAAUAACCAUAAACAUAAAAGAAAUGGGGAACGUCAUCGGUGUAUUAAGAAUUUCCUUGAUUGCACUGGAAUACAUUUCAUCUGUAGUCGAUCGGUAUCUAAAAUUUCAACACAAUGGCUGAUGCAUAUGAUAUAAUUAUUUGUUCAGAAUUUGAUUGUCUAUGGCUGAUGCUUAUGAUAUAAUUGCGCACUCCUUACUCAAGGUGUCCAUUUUGGCACUAAUUCCAUGAUUACCUAACGAGAAAAUACGUACUACUCUGUGUGACCUUUGCCUACGAGUCCAAUCAGCUCCCUGCCCACAAAACAAAACAAAAAAAAAUAAUAAAAGGCAUCUUUUCUUAAAAAAAAAUUAAAAAAAAAAUGCUUUGAGAUUAUCAAUUAAUGCUGCUAGCUCCGGUCCAAUCAGCUCAAAACUCAACUAAUUGAUCCUUUAUAAACUUGUAAUUUGAGCACUUAAUUUAGUGGCUUGCUGCUUUAAUUAUUUUACCAGCUGCAGGUAUCACUUAAAGGAUGCGGUUCUUGACGGAGGAAUCCCUUUCAACAGGGCCUACGGAAUAUCACGGAACCGAUCCCAGAUUCAACAAGGUGUUUAACCAGGGAAUGUCUAAUCACUCCACCAUUACCAUGAAGAAGAUUUUGGAAGUUGACAGAGGGUUUGAGGGACUGAAGACCGUGGUCCACGUGGGGGGUGGAACUGGGGCUACGCUCAAUAUGAUCAUCAGCAAAUAAUUCUAGCAGACAAAAAGGAAAAGGUUUCAAUCUUAUUAUCAGAAAACCAUCAAACUUUUCGAUUCUUCAUCAAAGCAUAUAACAAGUUUUGACAAGAUAACAAGAACAAGCAUUACAAAAAAACCACACACACACACUGAAUGCACACACAUACACUUUCGAACAUUUGAGACGUUUAAAAAAUAAUACUCUAAAAUUGUUGAAAGACGAAGAAGAAGAAGAAUGGGAAUUUACCGCAAAAGGGUUCACUUCUUCUUCAGCAAACGGAUUGGAAUCGUAACGGCCAGCCAUUAUCAGAAGAACCCUUUAAUGAAAAUGCACAAUGCAAAAAAGAAAGUAUGAUAUUAUCUUUUUAAAAUGUUCAAGAAAAUAACACAAAAAUUCGGAUCUGGGGAGAAUAUAAAACGGGUUUGAAGAUUUUGUAUGAUAUUGUUGCCAAAAUGGGAAUGUUAUGUUAAUGAGAACGUAUGGAAUCAAGAAUUGGACUUGGUUUUUCUUUUGUUAAUAUUUUUUUAAAUGACUUAGUUUUAAUAUGUUUUUCGAUAUGGGGUUGUACUUAUACAUCGUUUGGGGUUCCCGGGAAAAUUGAGGGGCAAAAUCAGGGAAACUACCAAAGUUGGCCCCGGUGGCUUUGGAGCUGCAAAUAGGCGGGGGAUGUCAGGACACAGCAAUUGAUUUCCCAAAUUAGAUCAAUUGAUUUUGCCCCAAUGCGCAAACGUUGUCGUUCAAUGUCAGGACGCAGCAAUUGAUUUCCCAAAUUAGACCAAUUGAUUUUGCCCCAAUGCGCAAACGUUGUCGUUCCAUUUAUUUGUUAGCAGAGUUAGUAAUAAGUCGGACGACGUCGUGGAAGACCCAAGCUAAGUAGCGCGACGUCGUUUGUCCGCAUAACAGAAUUAGUUGGCAACACUCGGAGUCGGUUACUUCAUCUUAUUUGUACAGCAGUGAUUGGUGGAAAAAGACAUCUCAGCAAUAUAACAGAAUUUCCCUCUUUUGCUACUUUCUCUCUCUAUUUCUCCCUCUCUCCCAAUUCUCCCUGCUCGUCUGUGCACUCUUCAUCCCCAAUCUUCCUAUCUCCCCCAAAUCUUCCUCAAUUCCGGAAUUAAUUCUCAAUUUUAGACAGAAAUGGAUCCAGAGGCCUGACAGGGGAUUGGGUUUAUAUGAGCUGGGGAAACAUUGGUGUCUUGGACCCGCCAACUGGCUAACUGACUCGGUAAUUGCAAUUCAUUAUUAUGAACUGUAGAUUUUUGCUGUACCAAUUUUGUACUUUUAAGUAAUUCUUCGUACUAUUAUACAACAAUGUCCAAAACACCGUUUCAACUACUUAAUUCAUAGUUAUAUAAAAAAUGGGAUGAUCAGAUACCUAAUAAAUUAAGUUUGUCCAAUUCAAACUGAUUCGUGUAAUUCUUAUUAUAUUUGGCGUAGGUUGUAUAGUUUGAUAUAAUCAUCAACUUUUGUAUAGAUUGAUAAAUUCGGAUUUACAUUCAAACUGUAAUUGUAUGAAUUUACAACAAAAGUUACAAAAAUAAAAAGAAUCGAUUUGAAUUGAAUAGAAAUCAACUUGCGAGAUUCUUGAUCCAAAAUUAGGAAGCUGCCUAUCAUUUGUAAUGACUUGUUGAUUCUUUUGUUAAAAUGUACACACUCCUAACUUCCUUAGGGGGAAAAAAAAAAAAAGAAAGAACGUUUCACCCUCUUCUGUUUCCUUAGAAACCUUUGGAAGUGAUAUAUAUAUAUAUAUAUAUAUAUAUAUUUUAAUGGUGUUUCCCAAUGAAAACUUAACCGUCAAUAUACAAAAGUUAGGCAUAUCUAAAUUCAACACUAUGUAUCAGGAAUUUAGCGAGAAAAAUCAUGCUAGGCCUAAAAAAUGGUAAGCUUUAGGUACUGUAACGCCCUAGCCUCAAGAGCUAACCUAAGGAACUUUUGAGUUGAAACCACAAAUUUAAAAUGAUUAAUUUAAAUCCUGGCCAAAGAACUUUUGAGCUAAAACUAUGGAUUCAAAAUAAUUAACUCAAGUUAUUAAGUAGUCCAUGGAUCUAGAAAUAACAUAUUGGCCAAGACUCAACCCAGGCAAAAACCAUGCAAAAUCUGUUAGCAUUUAAACUGAAAUCGCGGGUCAAAACAAUUAAACCAAAUUGCUAAAUAACCCAUGGGUCUAGAGUCAUGUAUCAAUCCAAUCCUUUCCUUUCUUUUUGAUGUUGGACGGGUCCUCAGAGUUAAGACAGAAAUAAUUUGAUUAAAUUUUUAACAUUGGUAUAUAAUUGAAGGCAACAUGUGACAUAAUCGAAUACCUGCAAUCCUUUUGCUUUGAAUAAUAAAUAUGAUAAGUCUUUUUCAGAAAAAUAAAAUACUACUCCAUGAUAAGUUGCACAACCUUAAUUAGAACUGAACAUACUCCUUUGCUAGUUUGGCUGGCAUUCAUAUUUAUUUGAUAAGCUCAAGGACCCAAAUGCACUGUAUCUUAAUGAAAAUUAAAGUUUCACUUUACAAUAGAGUUGGACAUUGAGAAACAGCAAUAAAGAUAUACACACUGAGGUACUGCGUCAACAAACAAUCCCAAAUUAUAUGCUGUUGUUCAACAUACAGGAUUCAUCAAAAUCCCCCAAACAUUUGAAUGUGGUCUCAGGUCACGGAAAUACUUUGGUUGCUGUCCCUGCAGCAUAACAGACAUGAGCUCAAGAAAUAGAUUGGCAGUCAUUUGCUGAAUCAAGAAAAAAGGAAAAUAGUAGAACGUGUAAGAAUUAGCUUAGCAAGCCAUUAUUAAAUGCCAAACCCAAAAUCCUGUUAUGAGUCAUUCAUAGAGGUGCAGGUCAGAGCUGUUAGAUUUUAUUGGCCCGAAGUUUGAUUACAUAACAACAGAGAACAAAAGUAUUUAUUCCGUUCCUAGUCAAUUUGUAAUUUUUCUUUUAAAAUACAUGCGCAUGUCUGUUCUAGCAAAAAGAUGUAAAUUUUCAGAGUCUACUACUUUUAACUACUAAAACAAUCCCUGGUGCAUUGAAGUCUUUCAGACAAUGUAAUGAAUCUUUUUAUUUAAAAAAGGAAAAUGUCUAUCAAUACUUUAAUCUGUCUUUCAAGUUACAGCUUGAAACAAAAACAGAGAAGAUGCACCUCAAAGGAGAGAAUACUGGAAUCAAUAAUCAGCAGACAUCUGGAAUCAAUAAUGAGGCAGUUUGAGAAAACUGCUCUUCUUUUUUGUGACGAUGGAUGAGUUGCCUUGAUUCUGACCCUUUAAAAAACAAAAAGAAUGACUGAUAAGGAGGAGGACGAAAGAAUCUACGGAAAAGAAAAUGUAAAGAGCAAUUGAAGGAUAUGGCCAUUUAAAAGGAAGCAGUAGCGUUUUUUAUUUCCUUUUUCCUUCCGGGGAUUAUAUAUAAGAAAAAAAAAAAGCACUACUAAUAGAAUUCUAAACAAACCGAAUAAGUAGAGAUUAAAACAGAACAUUGGAAAUAAUUAUUAACUACUUACAGUUACAGUGGGGUUUGUUUCCCUAAUGCGAAACCAGUCAAACUUUGUUGAAAUCGAUAACAACAAGGGGAAUAUGUGCAAUCUUGGGCCACUCUGCGCCACUUCCUUUGAUGCAUCUCUUUGCUAAAAGAGGACAGUUGUAGAUACGUAGCUCAUUUAAAUUGGUGAGGUGUCGCAUUGCUUCUGCGGAGGGCAACUGUCUGAGGUUAGAGCAAUCACCAAUCCACAAUUCUCGAAGAUUCCGAAGGCUACCCAUCCACUCUGGAAGAACUUCCAACCCCUCAAACUCCCAUAUCUCUAGAGACGUCAAGGUAGAGAUAUGCUGAAUUUGGUCUGGGAGAGACGUGAUUUUUGGCCAUCCAUACAAUCGAAGUGUUUCCAGCGAGACGAGAUUGGUGAUGGAGUGUGGCCACGGGAAAUGAUCAAGGUCAAGGAUGUCAGAGAAGCCACCGAGAGUCAACGAUCUGAGGUUGGCUAGACGGUGGAGAACCAUAAUUGGCCAACAACCAGGGUCAUGAGAGCGGAUCUCCAACCGCUCGAG